GGAAAAGGUCCAGGCUGAGGCCACUUUUGAAGUUUGGACCUUUCCAUGGAACUUUAGCCCACAGCAGGAGACAUCCAGAGAAGCUCGGGUCUCCAUGCACGGUCCUUCAUUUGAAGCUGGCGCUAACUUCUGCUGUAUAACAAGUACCCAGAGCGUGCUGCUAAGAGAAAAUGACCACUAAAAUGUGUAAUUCCAUUAAUUUUAACCUGGUUUGAACUCAAUUCCAUUAGACUCUUCCAGAUUGAAGGAACAUCACCAUCUGGCUCCAAACACUCUGGUCUCGUUAAAUGAACUGCAGUAAUAAAAGCCAUUGCAGAUGAGCGGAGGGUAUGAAGGAGGCGACAAUAGCUUCGUGCUGCCAGCACGGGGCUAUUGAUUUUGCUUGACGCUUGCUGGGGUGAGGCGGGAGCGCCGGAUUGCUCAGAUUCUCUUGGCUAUAAUUAAGUGUGAGCACCAGGCAUGCAGGGUGGGCUCUGAGGAGAGCUAAAAAGUGAUGGUUUUUAAAAUGCCCCUGCAGAAUUCCAUCAUGUCUUGUAAACCCAGAAGAUUAAAUGUAAGCCAUGCAGACACACACUCAUGCUAUGGUGAUUUCUUGUUCUAUCUCCAAUGUGCAGAAAUGUGUGCCACACUCAUUCCCGCAAUUUUCUGCUAUUCCAACCUCAGAUGCUUGGCCUAAGAUAUUCAGAAUUAGGUGGCAGUAAGUGAAGCAUCGGAUCACUUUUUGCACAGUCCCCGGAAAAUCAUUUAAAGAGCAUCACAGGCCAUUUAACAGGAGGACCUGGAAACACACUGAGCAAGGACCAGUGGGCGGUGGCCGCAUCAUAAACAAAGAUGCAUUUUUCCCCAAGGUCACUUCCUUUUCCUCAUCUCUGCUGUCAGAUUAUUUGCAUGGGGGGGGGGCGAGUAGAUCACUAAAUUUAGAACAAAUGUAAAAAUGGAAUCUUCAACUGAUCCCCCAACCACGAACUUCACAGCUGCCUUCUAAUUUCUUAUGGCAUCAUGAUUUCUAAACUGAGCUCCAUGGCCAAGAGUCUGCUUGCUCGCCUCAUCUCAGUAUUUCUGUGUUCUGGAAAUGUCAAUGGUGUUGUUAGGAUGAUCGGCACGCUGCAGCAGCAUAGCCCACAGCUUCAGAACCACCUAGGAUCUUGCUGAAAAUGUUUAUCUUUCAGACCCAUCCAGAAGCAGCCAGCAGAGACUCCAGGUUACCUCUGUUGGUGGUGUUAUUGCCUUCAGGAGGCGGGGCCUACACAAAGGAAGUACCUCACACGUGGGUCCCAAGGAGCACUUUCUCCCUCUGUCUCUUCAGCUCUCUCAACUUCCGGCUCCCUUGACAGGGGCAGCUUUGUGCCUCCACAACCCCCGACACAAUGUUCUGAGGAACCAUAGAUGGAAGCCACAGGUUUUGUGUUGAUACUGCCCUACGAUGUUAAAUUGGUGCCUACUUUGUGGGAAGAAGAAUCUGAGACUUACUCUCCUGUUGUGUGGUUCCACUCUCGAUCAUCUUGUGCUCAGAGGUGAGCAAGGACAGACAGAGAAAGCUCCGGAGGACUUAGACACAAAGAAACUCUCCUGCCUUUAGCUCAUUGGCUUGAGCUGGCCGCAUGGCUCUGACUAACUCCGGUUUUGAAGUCAUCAGGAAAGCAUGGCCCAUCUUGUACUGCGACUUCGGUAGAUGUGGUAGUUUGAAUGGGACUGUCCCUCAUAAGCUCCUCCAUUUGAAUGCUUGGUCAUUACAGAGUGGCACUACUUGAGAGGGAUUAGGAGUCGUGACCUUUUGGAGUAGGUGUGGCCUUGUUGGAGGAAGUGUGUCACUGGGGGUGGGGUGGCCUUGUGGUUUUGAAAGCCCAAGCCAGUCCCAAUGUCUCUCUCUUCCUGCUGCCUGUAGAUUCAGAUGUAGAACUCUCAAGUACUUUUCUAGCACCCUAUCGGCCUAGAACUGGGUGCAGCCAUGCUCCCCACCAUGUUGAAAAUGGAAUA